rnacentral:rRNA from 1 species
CGGACGGGUGAGUAACGCGUGGGUAACCUACCCUGUACACAUGGAUAACAUACCGAAAGGUAUGCUAAUACGGGAUAAUAUAUUUGAGAGGCAUCUCUUGAAUAUCAAAGGUGAGCCAGUACAGGAUGGACCCGCGUCUGAUUAGCUAGUUGGUAAGGUAACGGCUUACCAAGGCGACGAUCAGUAGCCGACCUGAGAGGGUGAUCGGCCACAUUGGAACUGAGACACGGUCCAA